GGGGGUAUAGCUCAGGGGUAGAGCAUUUUUACUGCAAAUCGAGAGGUCUCCGGUUCAAACUCGGAUCUCCUCU